rnacentral:tRNA from 1 species
AGGGCUAUCGCCAAGCGGUAAGGCACAGCACUUUGACUGCUGCAUUCACUGGUUCAAAUCCAGUUAGCCCUG